CACCGAUGAUGAGAAUACGGUUUGAAAAGUUGUUAACUGAGUAGAUGUAAAAGGAAUCCGGUUUGAAUCCGGAACAACCGCCAUUACUGUAUUUGAGCGCAUUUUUCAAUGCGCAUGGGAAUCCUCCCUCAUAAGUCAGUAUACCUACCGUAUUUUUUGAUUUGUU
rnacentral:ncRNA from 2 species